CGGCUGACGCCGGGCCAGCAGCGUGGGUAAUACGGGGGGGGUUAGCGGUGGUCGGAAGUACUGGGCGGAAAGCGCACGUAGGCGGACUGGAAAGUCAGGGGUGAAAUCCCUGGCUCAACCCCGGAACUGCCUUUGAAACUCCCGGUCUUGAGGUCGAGAGAGGUGAGUGGAAUUCCGAGUGUAGAGGUGAAAUUCGUAGAUAUUCGGAGGAACACCAGUGGCGAAGGCGGCUCACUGGCUCGAUACUGACGCUGAGGUGCGAAAGCGUGGGGAGCAAACAGGAUUAGAUACCCAGUAGUC
rnacentral:rRNA from 1 species